CCUACGGGAGGCAGCAGUAGGGAAUCUUCGGCAAUGUGGGGAACCCUGACCGAGCAACGCCGCGUGAAGUCAGAAGGAAUUCGUUCUGUAAACUUCUGUUAUAAAGGAAGAAAGACGGAUGGAGGAAAUGACAUCCGAGUGACGGUACUUUAUGAGAAAGCCACGGCUAACUACGUGCCAGCACCCGCGGUAAUACGUAGGUGGCAAGCGUUAUCCGGAAUUAUUGGGCGUAAGGAGGGAGCAGGCGGCAGCAAAGGUCUGUGGUGAAAGACUGAGGCUUAAAUGCAGUAAGCAAUAGAAACCGGGCAGCUAGAGUGAAGGAGAGGAUCGUGGAAUUCCAGGUGUAGCGGUGAAAUGCGUAGAUAUAUGGAGGAACACCAGUGGCGAAGGCGACGAUCUGGCCUGCAACUGACGCUCAGUCCCGAAAGCGUGGGGAGCAAAUAGGAUUAGAUACCCUUGUAGUC
rnacentral:rRNA from 1 species